AUUGAACGCUGGCGGCAUGCCUUACACAUGCAAGUCGAACGGCAGCGGACCUUCGGGUGCCGGCGAGUGGCGAACGGGUGAGUAAUAUAUCGGAACGUACCUUUCAGUGGGGGAUAACGUAGCGAAAGUUACGCUAAUACCGCAUAUUCUGUGAGCAGGAAAGCAGGGGAUCGCAAGACCUUGCGCUGAUUGAGCGGCCGAUAUCAGAUUAGGUAGUUGGUGGGGUAAAGGCCUACCAAGCCGACGAUCUGUAGCUGGUCUGAGAGGACGACCAGCCACACUGGGACUGAGACACGGCCCAGACUCCUACGGGAGGCAGCAGUGGGGAAUUUUGGACAAUGGGCGCAAGCCUGAUCCAGCCAUGCCGCGUGCGGGAAGAAGGCCUCGG
rnacentral:rRNA from 1 species